UGGGACACAGCACCCUCCCUAUCCCCUCCUUGACUAUCUCCCCUAUCCCUGCUUCACCCACCUCCCACCACUUUGAGCAACACCCCUCCCACCUUUAAACAGAGCCAGGAAAUCCCCCCUGGAGGAAAGGGGCGAAUGCAGGUGGAAACCCCCACCUGUUCCGGAUCCUCUUUCCAGUGGCGCCAGCACAGGCAGUGACCUUUUCCAGAAGCCUUGUCCUCCUGGGGCAAUCUCCCUGCUGGCUUUCUCACCCCACCCCCAACCCAUACCAUGGGAGCCUGAGUGCCCAGAACCACCAGCUGUUGGACAGGAAGCAUGUGACAGGAACGGAGCCCUCCUCCCGCGGUCCCCUCCAGAAGAGCCUCCAGACUGGACCAGCUGCAGUGACCUCUUGUGCCCCCAUCUGCUCCGGGAAGGCGAAGCCGAGGCCUCAGCCAACCUGGAAUCUGCUGAGUGUAUCCUUAAUAAAUUCGCUCGCUCUGCUUCAACACUGCUUUCUAUCACUCAUCUGAAUUCUUUCUCGUGGGUGUGACAAGAGCCAAGGAGGGGAGGAGCGCUCUGACUCGGGCAGCUCUCCGGUAACGUUGGUACCUGCAGUCUCCAAAAGGGCACCUCCCAGCCUUCACCAUUGCAGAGGCCCCUGUCCAUCGCACAACAGCGACCCAGCAGCUCAUCGCCGCGCCACCUCCAGCUCCGUCGUCACUUCCCAUCAGUACCGCCCAAGUCCACCACCAGAGGCACCGCCAUCCUUCACUCAGUCACCAGUGGCCGGAUAUCUGUCAAGAAUAUAUCUCCAAAAAGAGAAAAAGAAAAGAAUGUAUCUCCUUGAGGAAUCGUGUUGGGCUGUUGUCAUAGCAACAAGCAAUACAGGUGAGGACCCUACCCCAUACAGUCUGGUGGGGCAGACCGAAGACAAACACGUAAAAAGAUUUAGAAAACAAGAAGCACAAUGGAUGACCCAGCAACCCCACUGCUAGGAUUUAACCUGCCCCAGCGGCUUGAGCCAUGAUGGCUCCGGGUGGGAGACACCAGAUGUGCGUCCCCGGCGAAUGGACUGGCAGGUUGGGGGCCAGCUACACAACGAAAAGAAAGGGGCAAACUACUUACAGAGAAAGAACUGCAAAAGCAUUGGGGUGACCAGGUGCUGUGUGACUUCCUUCAUGGAAGUCCCAGAAAACACACCCUGUGCCAGCACAUCUGGGGUGGCAGGGCCCAGAGCAUGAACGCCAAGGCUCUGCAGCUUUUUGAGGUGAUAGGAGUGUUCUGUGUCACAAGAGGGGUCAUUACAUAACUUAUACAUUUGUCAAAACUCAUCAAAUUGUGUGUUUGAAAUUGGUGAAUUCAUUGUAUGUAAAUUAUACUUCAACAAAGCUUGAUUUUUUUUUUAAGACAUGGUUUUAUU